rnacentral:tRNA from 1 species
GGGUGACUAGCUUAGUGGUUAAGAGGUGGCCUCUGGAGCCAGUGCUCUGGCUUUGAAUCCCAGCUUACCCA